UACGGAGGAUGCGAGCGUUAUCCGGAUUUAUUGGGUUUAAAGGGUGCGCAGGCGGAUUUUUAAGUCAGCGGUAAAAGCCCGGGGCUCAACCCCGGCGAGCCGUUGAAACUGUCGGACUAGAGACGGCGAGAAGUACGCGGAAUGCGCGGUGUAGCGGUGAAAUGCAUAGAUAUCACGCAGAACUCCGAUUGCGAAGGCAGCAUACCGGCGCCCAACUGACGCUGAAGCACGAAAGCGUGGGUAUCGAACAGG
rnacentral:rRNA from 1 species